GCGUCCGGUGAUUUAGCGACUGCCCGCCUUCUAAGCGGUUGGCCGCAGGUUCGAACCCUGCUGGGCGCGC
rnacentral:tRNA from 1 species